ACAUGUGAGAUCAGUCUCAGAUAAUGUUCAUCUGUAACUCUGGGAGAAAAGAAACUCUGGGACUUUGGUUUUAUUUUAUUAUUAUAAUUUUUUUGUUGAACCCAACCUGACUGACAGGAUCAUCACUAAGAAGUGGGAGAAUCAGGAGGAGUUCCUCCCCCGUCCUGAGUGGACAUUCCUGUCUUUACGGCGUGGAUGUGAC